GGACUACUUGAGAUUAGAAAAUUGUGAUUCUCUCAAAGUCGAGCGGCUUGCAUCGUUUCCCAAGCUAAAAGGUCUUUCUAUUAUCGAUUGCAAGAGUAUUGAGGUGCUCUCAAUUCCUGCUGCAUCUGGGAUCGUGAGUAGUACAACAAAUUCUGCUAGUAGUGUGAUGGCAUCAUUGCAAUUUUUAGACAUCAUCAAUUGCGAUAAUUUGUUGUCUUUUCUAGAGGGAGGAUUGGCAGCCCCCAAUCCAACGGAGAUUUUUAUCCAGGAUUGUGAGAAGCUCAAGGCGCUGUCGCAACGGAUGGAAUCCCUUCUCCCAUCUCUUCGAUAUCUGCAUCUAGAAAAUUGUCCAAAAAUUGAGUGCUUUUGAGAAGGGGGCUUGCCCUCCAGCCUACAAUCCCUUAAGAUCUUGAGAUGCAAAAAGCUCACGAGUCGCCGGAAAGAGUGGGGUCUGGAGAAACUCCCUUAUCUCACAGACUUGUGGAUUGUGGAUAUCAAGGAUGGAGUAGAGUCAUUUCCAGAGAAGGACUAGCAGCUGCCUUGCACACUUGAAGCUCUCUUGUUGCAAUCCCUUCAGAAUCUAAAAGUGCUAAACUAUUCAGGUCUUCGACACCUCACCUCCAUCCAACACCUAGUAAUCGGCUUCUGCCAUAGACUCCAAUCCCUACCAGAAGAGGGACUACCUGCCUCUCUCACCACACUAGAUAUCUCAGAUUGCCCAAUGUUGAAACCAAGGCUAGAAUGGGAUAAAGGACAAGACUGGCCCAAGAUUGCUCACAUCCCUUGCCUGGUAAUCGAUGACGAGCUAGUUCCUUGAUGAUGACACCGAUUACAGGUGAGGGCUUGCCUCCAAAAGUUACAAGACCUUCAUCAUCAUCUAUUUAUAUAAUUAAAGGACGUGGGUUGCUCUCUCCCAAUCGAGGUGAUACACCUUUCUCAAUACUUUAAGGACCAUCAUUGCUCUAUCUUCAGCCAUUGCAAAAUGGGGGUGGUGACCUCCAUCUUUGCAAUAGAUUAAUAUUUAUAGAAUGACGGCCAUUGCAAAGUUGUUGACAUUAUUUUUAGUGUAGAGAAAGGAAGAAGAUUAGAACAAGGUAGCUCAUAUUUCAAGCAUGUCGAUGAUAAACUUACCUUGCGAUCAGUCAUGCACUUUCAGUUUACAUUACAAUUAUUAUUAUUUUUGGUUCAUUGGCAUUUUAGUUUGUUUCCCUAACAUCAAGAUCUGUUCUUCCUCUAUGCCAUAGUUAUGGUAACUCUUAAAAUUGUUUUGAACACUACACAGUACAAUGUAAUGUAAAUAUUUCACAUAUUAUAUUCAAUUCCUAUUAGGGGAACUGUUAUGCACCCAUUCUAUACGAGUAUUUGUUCUUGAUGGCAUCUUUGAAGGUUUGUUAUUUUCCUUUUUCUGUUAAUUCCUGAAUUUCCUGUAUUUCUUUCUUUAUCAUUAUGCUAUUGUAGGACAUCUUCUCUAAGAUUUCACUAAACUAAAUACUUCCAUACCUAUUAUGCCUAUUUUAAACUAUUCCAGCACUUUCUUUUGCAAAUUUCAUUUUUAUUUUGAGGUUAAUUUUCUGGUUAAUUGAACAAUUUUUUAUGGUAAGAUGCAGUUUACUUCCACAUAUCUUUAACUUCCUUGGUUUUUCAUACAGCAAACAGACCAAUGUGGAAACCAUCAACCAGAAUAUCGCAAGCUAGAACCUGUCAUGCAUAUAUGUUUUUCAGGCCACAACAUCAUGCUGUCAUUAUUCAUUGCAUUAUGAAGUACGUAUUGCAAGGAGCUUAGUUCGCUGCUUGGAAAAAUGCAAGCCCUCCUCGCAUCUUUAUGUUGAAAAAUGUGGCAGCAUCAUGUAACUGAGAGCUUUUGAGCUAGGUGUUGCCUCCAGACUGCAACCAUAUCCUUUUGAUGGAGGAUAUUGCAGAGUUUCCCUUCUUGGUCAGACUGCAAUAUUAGUGGCACUGACAAAAAAAGAGUCACUUCCAUAAUACUGGCUCCUGUCUUUCACCCUCGCCAUCUUUCACUUGGAGCAGCAUAAGAGCUGAAGAACAAUGACCUACAAGUGUCUUCAACACUUCAUCUAUCUUGAAGAUAUGGAAAUUACUGACUGCUCUUAGCUCUAGUCGCUAAAAAAAGAGUUGUUGGUGUCCUCCCCUGCUUCCACUAUGCAUGAAAAAUAUGGUUUUCAUUGUCCAAAUUACCAUAUAAUAAGAGAAAGUAGGGGAAAGAAUGGCCCCAAGGUUUCUGAUAUAAACUGCAUAGCUUUCAAUAGUGAGCUAAUUCUAUAUUGAAUCUUGCUUGUCAGUCGCAAGAGCUUGACCUUGGGGGUGUAAAGGUACGUUCUUCUGUUAGAUUCAUUUUCUAGGAAUGCUCCAGUGCCUCAAAUCACGGGAGCAUCAUUUGUUGUGCAUAUGAUCCCAGCUUCUUGAUGAUAAUUUUGUCAACUUACUCUUUAGUUCUUGUUUCUCUUUCAGAAUUUUUCUUCAUGUUCAUGGCCAACUUUGCAAAACAUAGGAUUUGCCUACUCCAAGGAUCCUAUCGAAAAAGUGCUAGCCACAUCAUACUUCUUGCCUUGCAUUUGCAAAUUACAUGUUCAAGAAUUUUUCAACAUUUGAGGUGACAUUCGCCCUCCUUUUUCAGUUCAUUCCUUCCUAGUCACUUUUUAGAUUAGAUCAUGGAAAAACUUUUCCUUUUAUGCAAUUAACAAUACGGGCGCAAUGUGCAAUUUCCAUUGCAUUUCUUAUUUGGUUUCAAUUUUAGUUUUGAAUACUCCUGGCAUAUUUUUGUUUCUAUCACAUCACUGAAGUGAAUUUGGGAAGUAUUAACAUGAUUGUAUCUGCAUUCAUCAGAGAAAAACUUCAAAUCAUCACUAUCACUACCACUAUCACAUCCACUAAGAAAUGGAGAUUGGAGUUAAAGAACUAAACGCAAAUCAGAUUAUGAAACUUCAAAAGGAAAUUAAGAUUCCAACCUUUUCUGCAACUAAUGCAAUGGCUCUGAGGGCAGCAGCGGGUCCCUUCGUUUGUUUCAGGUGAAGAGGGGGGAGCUUGGUAGCGCUCGAGGUAGCUAUUUCUGCUGUGUAGAUCUGCAGCUGUAAACUCAUGUUUUGAAUGGUUUCUGAUUUUGGUAAAACACGUGGAGUUGGAAUUUUUCUAGAGAAAUGUCUGGACGCUGAUUCGCAAAUUCGAGUGCAUCUUAGUUAUUCGGUGGGUGCAAAAUGGCCUUUAUGCAAUAUGUUGGCAAAAUUUCGAUCUCUUCUGUAACAGCUUCAUGUGUCAGUUGCUCAUGUCUUUCGAGAACCAAAUUCGGUAGCAGAUCCCUUGGCUUCACUUUCCUUGAAUGGGCAGCAUGUUUUCAUUUGGAACCAGCUACCUAGUCAAUGUAGGUAGCCAUUGCACUGGACAAAUUUGAUUUAUCUUAAUUGAGGCAUCGUUGUCAGACAAACUGGUAUGCCUUUUUCAUUGAAUAUAAUCUGCGGUCUGAUUGUGUCCGUCACUUGCAACCAAGUUACGGACCGUAAUCUUCUCAUUUUCCUAA